UGUGUGUGUGUGUGUGUGUGUGUGUGUGUGUGUGUCUGGUCAGAGGGGUGUUUGGCUGGGCUAGACGGCCUCGUGUAAUUCUGGAACCUCUGUUCUCGCUCUCCAAGCUGCCUGCUGGGUCUUCCCAGGAAGCGUGUUCUUUUCCAUCAUGCUUGACGGGGCCUCCCGCAGCCCAGGAGAGAAAGGACAGUGGUUUUCUGUGCCUACUUGUGUCCAGCAAGAACCCUUAGCAAGAACCCAACAUCAGAGAGAAGAUGCUGCAGGUACUGACUGUGGUACCUCUUGCUUCCAAGGGAACUUAGACAAAUCAUGGAACUUCUCUGAUCUUCAAUGUUACCGUGAAGCACUGGACAAGAUUUAGGGGUAAAUGUCACCACUUCAUAAUGAGACAGUAACUGCCUUUUGAAGAAACUGGAAAACUGCAGUGAGAUACCAUCCUCCGUGCACCAAAGUGGCCAAAAUGAAAAAAGACAGACAAUACCAAGAGGAGGCAAGAAUGUGGAGCCCUCGGACCUCCCACCUUGGCCAGAAUGUAAUUCAUGGAACCCGUCAGACAACUGUCUGGCACUACCUACAAAGCAGAACAUGAGCGAACCCGGUGACCGAGCAAUUCCACUCCAGGGUUAUACCUGACAGAAAUGCAAACAUGCUCUUGGAAAGACAAGCUUUGCAAUAUGCAUAGCAACCUUGUUUUUAAUCUAUGAAUACUGGAAUUUAUCCAAAGUCUCAUCAAAAGCAAACGGGAUCAACCUACUGUGCCUUUGCGGGGGACAGGUAAUGAGAAUAAGUGAUUCGUGACAACUUCAGUGAUACGGCUGAGUCUCACCAAUAAAGGUUUGAGCAAAACGAGCCAGACACACAAAAAGGUGCCUCCUGUAUGAUUUCACUCACGUUAAGUUAAAAAAACAAGCCAACCGGGCGAAAUGAAUCUGAAAGCUAGGACGGUGGUUACCUUGGCAGUGGAAUUAACUGGAAAGGGCACAAAGGAGCUUUUGAUGAUGUGACUGCAGAUAAGGUUCUGUUUCUUGUUCUGUGUCUUUAACUGGGUGUGCUCAGUUAAAUACAAAUACAUCAUCCAUAUGCUUGCGAUGUGUACCUUUUCCUGAAUGAGUAUUGUUCUUGAAUACAAAGAAAAACAUGAUACUUUCCCCAUGAAGACAGUGUUUGAGCCUUGACAAUGUGAAACAUUUCCAGGGGUAGUAUUGUUAAAAAUGAUGUUUUAACUGAGAUCUGUGUUCCUGGAAGGACUGAAACAGAAUAUUCUAGCCUGUUUUAAGAUUCCAAAGGUAACGUUAUGGAGUGUUCAACUAGUUGUUUUCUUUUUAAUUACAGUAAAUUGUGGGGAGAAUGGAUUGUUUUCAAAGAGUCUGGAGAAGUACUAGCCAAAUUUCACCAGAAAUGUUUGCAUAACUGGUAGAUGGAAUUGAAAAAUGAGUAUUAGGACUGAGUAAGGCAACAGUGUUGUGCUUCUUUCAUUUGAAUUUACAUGCCUUUUCCAGCUGUGACAGGCACUAAAAGCAAGUGUCAGAACAAACUGAAUGUAGGACCAAACCAUUAAUCACUGUCAUACAGAUUAAUCCAAGAUGGAAAAGACUUAGAGCCUAUUCAAAAUCAUA